GAUGAACGCUGGCGGCGUGCCUAAUACAUGCAAGUCGAACGGACGGACGAUAAGCUUGUUGUUUUGAUGUUAGCGGCGGACGGGUGUGUAACACGUGGAUCACCUACCUAUAUUACUGGGAUAAUUACGGAAAACCGGCUAUAAUACCGGAUAAUAUUUUGUACCGCAGGGUUCAAUAGUGAUAGACGGCCUUGGUGUCACUAAUAGCUGCUUCCGCGCUGCAUUAUCUAGUUGGUAAGGUAACGGCCUACCAAGGCGACGAUGCGUGUCCGAGCUGAGAGGGUGAUCGGCCACACUGGAACGUAGACACGGUCCAGACGCCUACGGGAGGCAGCAGUCGGGAAUGUUACGCAAUGGGCGCAAGCCUGACCCAGCAAGGCCGCGUGAGUGAUGAAGGCCUUCGGAUCGUAAAGCCCUGUUAUUGGGGAAGAACAGAUGUGGAAUUAAACGUGGAGAUCGUGACGGUACCUAAUCAAAAAGCACCGGCUAACUACGUG
rnacentral:rRNA from 1 species